rnacentral:rRNA from 1 species
GACGAACGCUGGCGGCGUGCUUAACACAUGCAAGUCGAACGGAAAGGCCUUUUCGGAGGUACUCGAGUGGCGAACGGGUGAGUAACACGUGGGUGAUCUGCCCUGCACUCUGGGAUAAGCCUGGGAAACUGGGUCUAAUACCGGAUAGGACCGCACUUUAGUGUGUGUGGUGGAAAGUUUUUUCGGUGAAGGAUGAGCCCGCGGCCUAUCAGCUUGUUGGUGGGGUAAUGGCCUACCAAGGCGGCGACGGGUAGCCGGACUGAGAGGUUGGUCGGCCACAUUGGGACUGAGAGACGGCCCAGACUCCUACGGGAGGCAGCAGUGGGGAAGAUUGCACAAUGGGCGCAAGCCUGAUGCAGCGACGCCGCGUGGGGGAUGACGGCCUUCGGGUUGUAAACUCCUUUCGCCAGGGACGAAGCGUUUUGUGACGGUACCUGGAGAAGAAGCACCGGCUAACUACGUG